AUGGCCAUGAGGGCCCCUGCUCAGCUUCUGGGGUUCUUGCUGCUCUGCCUCCCAGGUGUCAGAUGUGAUAUCACAAUGGCCCAGUCUCCAUCCUCCUUGCCUGUGUCACGUGGAGACAGAGUCACCCUCACCUGCAGGGCCAGUCAGGGCAUUAGCAGUAAUUUACACUGGUAUCAGCAGAAACCAGGUCAAGCUCCUAAGCUCCUCAUCAGAAAUGCAAACACUUUGGAAUCUGGCGUCCCCUCGAGGUUCAGUGGCAGUGGAUAUGGGACAGAUUUCACUCUUACCAUCAGCAGCCUGGAGCCUGAAGAUGCUGCCACUUAUCACUGCCAACAGAGUAGCAUUUAUCCUCCCACAAAACAUGUGGAGAUCUCCUGA